GGCUGUGCUGUAAGUGUUCCCU
rnacentral:miRNA from 1 species